GAUGAAGAACGCAGCGAAAUGCGAUACGUAAUGUGAAUUGCAGAAUUCAGUGAAUCAUCGAAUCUUUGAACGCAUAUUGCGCCCCUUGGUAUCCCGAGGGGCAUGCCUGUUCGAGCGUCAUUUCACCACUCAAGCCUGGCUUGGUGUUGGGCGACGUCCUCUUUGGGGACGCGCCUCGAAACGCUCGGCGGCGUGGCACCGGCUUUAAGCGUAGCAGAAUCUUUCGCUUUGGAAGUCGGGGCCCCGUCUGCCGGAAGACCUGCUCGCAAGGUUGACCUCGGAUCAGGCAGGGAUACCCGCUGAACUUAAGCAUAUCAAUAAGCGGAGGA
rnacentral:misc_RNA from 1 species